GAGAGAUGGCUGAGUGGUCGAAAGCGGCAGUCUUGAAAACUGUUGUGCAGUAAUGUACCGGGGGUUCGAAUCCCUCUCUCUU
rnacentral:tRNA from 1 species